GACGAACGCUGGCGGCGUGCCUAAUACAUGCAAGUAGAACGCUGAAGAGAGGAGCUUACUCUUCUUGGAUGAGUUGCGAACGGGUGAGUAACGCGUAGGUAACCUGCCUUGUAGCGGGGGAUAACUAUUGGAAACGAUAGCUAAUACCGCAUAACAAUGGAUGACACAUGUCAUUUAUUUGAAAGGGGCAAUUGCUCCACUACAAGAUGGACCUGCGUUGUAUUAGCUAGUAGGUGAGGUAAUGGCUCACCUAGGCGACGAUACAUAGCCGACCUGAGAGGGUGGUGGGCCACACUGGGACUGAGACACGGCGCAGAAUCCUACGGGAGGCAGCAGUAGGGAAUCUUAGGCAAUGGGGGGAACGCUGAACGAGGAACGCGGAGUGAGUGAAGAGGGUUUGCGGAUCGUAGAGCUCUGUUGUAAGUCAAGAAAGGGAGUGAGAGUGGAAAGUUCACACUGUGACGGUAGCUUACCAGAAAGGGACGGCUAACUACGUG
rnacentral:rRNA from 1 species